GAUGAACGCUCGCGGCAGGCCUAAUACAUGCAAGUCGAGGGGUAUGGGUUGCUUGCAACCCAGAGACCGGCGCACGGGUGCGUAACGCGUAUGCAAUCUACCUUAAUCAGGGGGAUAGCCCGGAGAAAUCCGGAUUAACACCGCAUAACAUUGAGUUGUGGCAUCACAGUUCAAUCAAAUAUUUAUAGGAUUAAGAUGAGCAUGCGUGACAUUAGUUAGUUGGUGAGGUAACGGCUCACCAAGACCACGAUGUCUAGGGGAUCUGAGAGGAUGACCCCCCACACUGGUACUGAGACACGGACCAGACUCCUACGGGAGGCAGCAGUAAGGAAUAUUGGUCAAUGGGCGCAAGCCUGAACCAGCCAUGCCGCGUGCAGGAAGACGGCCCUAUGGGUUGUAAACUGCUUUUGUACCGGAAUAAACCUUCUCUUGCGAGAGAAGCUGAACGUACGGUAAGAAUAAGAAUCGGCUAACUCCGUG
rnacentral:rRNA from 1 species